rnacentral:rRNA from 1 species
AUUGAACGCUGGCGGCAUGCCUUACACAUGCAAGUCGAACGGUAACAGGUUAAGCUGACGAGUGGCGAACGGGUGAGUAAUGUAUCGGAACGUGCCCAGUCGUGGGGGAUAACUACUCGAAAGAGUGGCUAAUACCGCAUACGACCUGAGGGUGAAAGCGGGGGACCGUAAGGCCUCGCGCGAUUGGAGCGGCCGAUAUCAGAUUAGCUAGUUGGUGGGGUAAAAGCCCACCAAGGCGACGAUCUGUAGCUGGUCUGAGAGGACGACCAGCCACACUGGGACUGAGGCACGGCCCAGACUCCGACGGGAGGCAGCAGUGGGGAAUUUUGGACAAUGGACGCAAGUCUGAUCCAGCCAUGCCGCGUGCGGGAAGAAGGCCUUCGGGUUGUAAACCGCUUUUGUCAGGGAAGAAACGAGUUUCUCUAAUACAGAGACUUAAUGACGGUACCUGAAGAAUAAGCACCGGCUAACUACGUGCCAGCAGCCGCCGUAAGAC